rnacentral:rRNA from 1 species
UACGUAGGGGGCAAGCGUUGUCCGGAAUUAUUGGGCGUAAAGAGCGUGUAGGCGGCCCGGUAAGUCCGCUGUGAAAGUCGGGGGGCUCAACCCUCGAAUGCCGGUGGAUACUGUCGGGCUAGAGUGCGGAAGAGGCGAGUGGAAUUCCUGGUGUAGCGGUGAAAUGCGCAGAUAUCAGGAGGAACACCAAUUGCGAAGGCAGCUCGCUGGGACGUAACUGACGCUGGAGACGCGAAAGCGUGGGGAGCAAACAGG